rnacentral:rRNA from 1 species
GAUGAACGCUGGCGGCGUGCCUAAUACAUGCAAGUCGAGCGAACAGACGAGGAGCUUGCUCCUCUGAUGUUAGCGGCGGACGGGUGAGUAACACGUGGAUAACCUACCUAUAAGACUGGGAUAACUUCGGGAAACCGGAGCUAAUACCGGAUAACAUGUUGAACCGCAUGGUUCAACAGUGAAAGACGGUCUUGCUGUCACUUAUAGAUGGAUCCGCGCCGCAUUAGCUAGUUGGUAAGGUAACGGCUUACCAAGGCAACGAUGCGUAGCCGACCUGAGAGGGUGAUCGGCCACACUGGAACUGAGACACGGUCCAGACUCCUACGGGAGGCAGCAGUAGGGAAUCUUCCGCAAUGGGCGAAAGCCUGACGGAGCAACGCCGCGUGAGUGAAGAAGGUCUUCGGAUCGUAAAACUCUGUUAGUAGGGAAGAACAAAUGUGUAAGUAACUAUGCACGUCUUGACGGUACCUAAUCAGAAAGCCACGGCUAACUACGUG